CCAGAUGGGGCAUGGACAUCAGUAUUACCAUUUUACAGGUAAGGAAACUGGAGACUCAAACAAGCCAAUGACCGCCAUUCAGAAUUACGGGGCAAGUACAUCAGUCUCAUCUUCAUCCUUCCAUUGGCUCAGUUCCAGCUUAUGAGAGCAAGAAGAAGUAACCAGAAGACAGAGUGAAAAAUUGUAGCUCAUGUUGUUCAGGAAUAUGAGAUGCUAAUCCAUCUCCAGGCAUUGGGAACAGACAUCACUAUCUCUAUUUUACUGAUGAUGAAACUGGUGUUAUGAAGCAGUAAAUGAUUGACAUUCAAAAUUAUUGUUGUGUCAUUGCAUAUAUUGUCUUCUUGGUCCUGCUCACUUCACUCUGCAAGUCUUCCCAAGUUGCUUUGAAAUGAUUGCUUUAAUCAUUUUGCAUAUACAAUCAUAUUUCAUCAUUGUUCAGCCAUUCACCAACUGAUGAGUACUGCCUCAGCUUCUGAUUCCUGAUCUGUAAACUUUCUGAAUGCCCAGUAUAUAGAUAUGGAAGCUGAAGGCAACACCAGGUCAGAAUAACUUAUUUGUAUGGUCUUAUGGAGAAAGAUAGCAGAAGAUUAGGAGCAAUCUUGCCUUCACAGAGGGAAAAAAGCCAGUUUAAAGAAAAUUUUACUAGAUACUCAGAUCAUUAAAGUCAUUUCAAAGGCAUAGAGGAAGCCAGAAGAGGGACAACAAAGAUGGAAAAUAUCUGAAGAUUUAAAAAAAAACUUUUUACCAUCAGAGAAAGAGAAGCCACUACACAUGAAUUAUAACAUUACAGUCUUAGAUGUGUCUAUAAAGAAAUGGCACAAAAUAAAGCAAAGAUGGGAAAGCAGAUGGAUUAGACCAAUGGUACAUAGAAGUAUAUACAUUUCUCCAUGCUGAAGAAAGUAAACUGUGAUGGUAUUGAAGGCUUCAAUUCACUAAAAAGAAGGAGGGGAAGAUGCCAAAGGUCUCCACCAAAUAAAGGUGACCAAGGAAUAUCAGUGUCUAAUCUAUAUGGUCAUCUUCUUUUCCAUGUAAAAAUUUAUUAAAAUAAUAUACACAGGAGCAGCUAGGUUAUACUAGGCUCAGUAGAUAGACAGCCAGGCUUAGGAAUG